GGACAUUUAAGGCUGUUCCUAGUGGCAAUGGGGCUGGCUCAGCACAUCCGUUGUCAGUCACUUUCUCUUUUCUAAGUACUUUCUGUGCCAUUUAAGCAGACGAUGGUGACACUGGUGUUAAGCGUGCGACUUCUACAGCCUACACUGCCGGCAUAGGGAGGGACCCAGGAGGUUGCAAGGUGUUUUAAUGUCCUUCCUCUCUUGCCAGCACUACUUUUUGCUCUUGCGUUUUGUUUUGUUUUGUUUUGCAAAAGAGGCAACAGCGAUCUGCAGACUCUGCUUUCUGCCUUGUACCAGAGAGCCACAGUAUAUGUUCGAUCAUGUAACACACUGGUGUUUAGUUCAUUCUUGCUGCGAAAGAAGGCCAUUGUACUUCCUGACCCCAAAAGCAAGUUAGCACAACUGAACUGUGGGGCGUGUGGCCAAUGCUGAGGCUGAGGAGAGAGAGAUGGGCGUCAGGGGGAUGUGGCCAGGAGGAAAUAAGAGCAAAUUCCUCCAAAACGCUCUGACAGGAAAUGACAGAGUAUCAGUCUCCUACCACUCCACUCGGCCGCUUCUGGAGGGAAAAAGGCCUUCCUAAUCACGGAGCGGAGCCAGAGCGCAGUAGGGACGGUGGCUGCUACAUGCAGUUUCAGAUCAAUCUGCUAUCGUCACUGUGCCUGAGACCCAAAUAAUUUCUCUGUCAACUCUGGACACUUUGAAGUGAGUGGGGACUUUUUUGAUUGGCAUAAACUGCCUGCAUGCAUCCAGAGGACAGAGAAUCAACAGUGAUAACCCUCCUCCCUCCCACUCCAUCUGUAUCAUUUUGCUAAAAAGCCUUAGAGGAAAUGUGUCUUCUUCAAGCAGAAAAAAUUUAAUUUUGGCUGAAUUGAAUGAGAGAAGCCAGGACUAUUCAAAUGGCCUCUGUAUUCUGUCAUUGGCACAAAGGCGAAGACAAGGCCCUGGAUCCUAAGUAGGAAUCUACCUGGACUCACAGCAGUGUCCGCCUGCUGGACAGAAUCUCUUGAACCCCUGGGGUAAUAUCAUGACCCCAGGGGACUGUGGUGAAAGAGAGGAAUGCUGGAUCUUCUCUUCUGGAACAGACAUUGCAGAGGAAGAGAUGGAUGAUGAACAGAGAGAAAACAAAAUUUUAAAAAUGAGAAAAAGAUUUCAAAGAAAAUGUGGGAGUCCAUGGAGAGAGCUGGACAGAACGGCAAAGACAUUGAGAACACGGGAUUAUCAGAGUGAGAGGAAGGUGUGGUGGCCGGAGCUGCAGCAGCCUAAGGAGCAGAGAGGACGCCAGGAUCAGAAGGAUGUCACCGGGAAGCCACAGGCUGUGUUGAGUGGUAGCCAGUGGUGACGGUGGUGGCAGGCCUUGAAUACAGAGUUUACUGUAGGGAAGGAAGACCACUAACAGUUUUGGGUAGGAGAAUGAUGUCAUAAAAAUGGCUUUUUAUGAGGAUUAGUCAAGUGGUGUGUGAGAAAAAGUAGCUCUUUGUUGGCAAAGACACAAGUGCUAUGCCCAUAGCAUAGCAAUUGUCUAAGCAUGAGGAAGUGCUAAUACUGCUCAAGAGAGUGUACAACCACAAGGAUUUAAUAAUUCUCUGGUGAAUUAGGAAAACUAUUUUUAAAUGUCCCAAAGUAUUCAAACAAUCAGCCACAGCUGCUUUCCUUUCUCAAAAAUAACUCAGAAUUAAACUUGGCUCUCAACACACAUGAAAAACAAAAUUAGUUAAUUAUGUAAAAUCCAGGGCAAUACCUUACAUUUAAUAGGUGCUUAAUAAAUUUUUCUUGUAAUGUUGGUGAAAAUAUUAUCCAAUUCAAGCAAGAAAAAAACAUAUUUCUCUAGAUAUCUAGCACUUAUAGAUGUCAAUAUCCUUGUUAAAUUACAAUUCAGAAAAUUGCUUUGAUUGUUCUACCCAUUUUAAAUGUAUAAAUGUAGAUUAAAUGAAUUUGGAGAUCAUUGCUGGAUUUUCUGUUUCUUUAUUGGCUGACUGUCAUAGAAAAGUGGUAAGAGUGGAGGAAAAAAUUUAGUGUUAUGAAUUGAGUAUGGAAUCUUUAUUAUAAAAAAUCCAUAAAACUUUGUAUUUGCCAAAGGUUGCAAUAUCAAUUAAUCAUGCCUUUGAAGUAAGUAAGCUCUAUUAUUCUUUUUUUGAGAGGGUACCAGGGAUCGAACUUGGGACCUUGUGCUUGUGAGGCAGGUGGUGACACCUAUGAGCUAAAUCCCCAGCCCAAGCUCUAUUAUUCUUAGACAGUCUUGGCUAAAUGAUGAGCUAAGAUCAGUGGACUUUUAGGAAUACCCAAUUCUUCAGUAUAAAUUGUCACCUCCUGUAGAUAAGCUUGAUGCACAGGUUUCUUAUCAUUGUUGGGCCUCAAUUUCCUCAUCUGACCCUUUUAGGUACCUCUGCAUCCUGCAGUGCCCAGACCAGUAUAGUUGGCAACACUUCAUUUUCUCCUGCCCCAUACUAAAGUUACCUGUCCCAAGUUUCAACUCACUCUACCCAGGACCCUCAUUUUAGCUAAGCUGAUUACCUGCUGCACACCAAGACAGUCCUGAAUGUCCAUACAUCUAGGUAUCGGCUUCUCCAGACAGCUUUUUUGCAUUCUAACAAGAUUUAAAAGGCUGAAACUGAACGGUGAAAAUGAUUUUAAAUUCGGGUUCCUCAAUUAGCUAGUGUGGAACAUUCUAGCAGAAAGUGGAGGAGGGCCAAAAUCAUGCCUAUACCUAAGGCAUACCUGGAUAGAGCCUAGCCCCUCAGUGGCUCCAGGUUGUCAAUCCCAGACCCUGGGUCCAAUGAUCAGGAGCACUUUUCUGGCUAAUCGUAUAUGCCACCAGCACUUUCCCGUUCAGCACACAUGAAGUCUGCCCCGGUUGGAUUUGGCAUCUUUGCUUCCUAUAGGUUUUACUGCAAAGGGCUGCACCCUGGUGUCUGCUGGCCCUCCUCUUGUGUUUGCAAACAUGGGCAUGUACUCAUGGCCAUGCUUCCUGUCGCUGGAGCAGAGAGCUGCCCUGGAUCCCCGCAUGAUGCACUCUUUCCUCUCAAACCAAUUGUGGCACUUGCUUCCCUCGGCUCUGGCACCUACCUACAGCUGUGGUUACUGAAGUGAGACUGUAAUUUGCUACAGCAUGCCAGAGUAUUAAUAGACAAUUAUUUAUUGCAAAUCAGAACCAUUUAUACUGUUUACUGGCUGACACAAUGUAAAAUUUUGAUCCAAAUGUUAAUGUGUCCAUGACAUUGCAUAAUUCUGUUCCAUGCCAUGGUUUUUCUUUUCUAAAUGAAUCGAACUUGCAGUACAAGGAAAUGGCAUUUUUAAUGGAUGAAGGAUUUACAGCCCCAAACUUAUAAGGCUAUUAUUUGUGUAACUAAGAGAGAAUUGACUAAUUGCAAUAACAUAGCAAAUUAGACAAAUUUAAGAUUAUAUUGGGAACAAAUUUGUAGGGAGAAAAUGAAAAUAGCUCACAAAGUUCUUAAGGGUAACUGAAUAAAUCUCACUUUAGCUUUACAGGGCAAUUGUAUUUUGGGGGAAAAUCAGGUACCUUUGAGGCCAAACAGACUUAUAAAUAUUCAAUUGAGUAGAACAUAGAUAAAAAUUACCUCUUCAUAAAAAACCGUAUGUGUAGGAGAGAGCACUUCCAGUUCUCCAAAUGUUUACUGAAAUUGCCUACACAAAUGUUUUCAGCAGUUGGAGGAAAACAAAGAGCUCUAUAGCAAUGUGGCUUUGUGGAAAAGUCACCAAUUGUAGCAUAUUUACCUUCUAUUUGUUGAGAAUGUAAUGCACCACGAAGGAAGAAUGAUUUCCUAAUAGGUAUCUUCAUGAUUUUUCAAAAUAAAAUAUGUGCAUCAGCAAAAAUAAUAUCACUUUCUUUCUGAGGUAUUCCUCUUAGAUUGUUUAUAUCGAUUUCUGUUAUUCUGUUACCUCUACCCACAGAGAGAUUGUUAAGAUAAAAAGUACCUCAACACAGCUCUAAUUAAAGUUUGAAAACUACACUGGUUUGUGGAAACACAAGGACACUCAAAGUGAAGAUUCUGCAGUACUGUAGUCCAUGGGGAUCCCACAAAUUAAUGAUGAGAAAAAAUGAUGGAGAGUGCUCUAAAAAUGAUAAAAUAUUUAUAUGGACUUUCAAAUUAAGUAAAAAUGGUCUCCUCUUCUCUAGUUGGCAAGAUCCUCCCUCUCACUGGUGUAUGAUUGCUUUCUUAGUUUUCUUUCCUGCUUCCUGUGACCAGUCAUACCCUUUUCCAGGCUAUUCUCCACAAUUUAGUCAUCUUCCUUCUUCAGUGUGUAUCUUGUCUUACCUCUCUCCUUCCAAAAGCCCUCGCCAGCAUGAUGAGGAUAAAGUACAAGCACUUUUGCAUGGUGCUCAGCUCUGAACUUCAUAUCCCUUUCCUGCCCUCCUUCCCCUCAGCAACCACUCAUUCUACAGGUCAAUACUCAGCUACUGAUGAUUCAUCUUCAAGCUAUUUUCUCUUUGUGACACCCUUCCACCUUUGAUUAGCCUUUACUGAUGCUUCAAAAAUAAGUUGGAAAGAAGGGAAAGGAAUAAAUAUGAGAAAAGAAAAAAAUGGAAACAAAGUCUUUGUAAAUAGGGAGAGGUGGAGGUGUUGAAGGGAGGGCAGGGGAAUGGGGUAAAAAACAAAGAACCAAGAUAGAUUAUGUAAAGGUACAAAUUUCCAAUGCUGAAUGUCAUUAUAUUGUAUGCCUAAAAUGUAUCAAUAAAAUCAAUUUUAAAAAGAUAUAUCAUGUAGAGGUACAAAUUCCCAAUGGUGAAUGUCAUCGUAUUGUAUACCUAAUAUGUACC
ensembl:lncRNA